rnacentral:rRNA from 1 species
AAGAAUUAAGCCAUGCAUGUCUAAGUAUAAGCAAUUAUACAGCGAAACUGCGAAUGGCUCAUUAUAUAAGUUAUCGUUUAUUUGAUAGUACCUUACUACUUGGAUAACCGUGGUAAUUCUAGAGCUAAUACAUGCUAAAAAUCCCGACUUCGGAAGGGAUGUAUUUAUUAGAUUAAAAACCAAUGCCCUUCGGGGCUCACUGGUGAUUCAUGAUAACUCCUCGAAUCGCAUGGCCUUGUGCCGGCGAUGGUUCAUUCAAAUUUCUUCCCUAUCAACUUUCGAUGUUUGGGUAUUGGCCAAACAUGGUUGCAACGGGUAACGGAGGGUUAGGGCUCGACCCCGGAGAAGGAGCCUGAGAAACGGCUACUACAUCCAAGGAAGGCAGCAGGCGCGCAAAUUACCCAAUCCCGACACGGGGAGGUAGUGACAAUAAAUACUGAUACAGGGCUCUUUUGGGUCUUGUAAUUGGAAUGAGUACAAUUUAAAUCCCUUAACGAGGAACAAUUGGAGGGCAAGUCUGGUGCCAGCAGCCGCGGUAAUUCCAGCUCCAAUAGCGUAUAUUAAAGUUGUUGUGGUUAAAAAGCUCGUAGUUGAACCUUGGGCCUGGCUGGCCGGUCCGCCUCACCGCGUGUACUGGUCCGGCCGGGCCUUUCCCUCUGUGGAACCCCAUGCCCUUCACUGGGUGUGGCGGGGAAACAGGACUUUUACUGUGAAAAAAUUAGAGUGCUCCAGGCAGGCCUAUGCUCGAAUACAUUAGCAUGGAAUAAUAGAAUAGGACGUGUGGUUCUAUUUUGUUGGUUUCUAGGACCGCCGUAAUGAUUAAUAGGGACAGUCGGGGGCAUCAGUAUUCAAUUGUCAGAGGUGAAAUUCUUGGAUUUAUUGAAGACUAACUACUGCGAAAGCAUUUGCCAAGGAUGUUUUCAUUAAUCAGGAACGAAAGUUAGGGGAUCGAAGACGAUCAGAUACCGUCGUAGUCUUAACCAUAAACUAUGCCGACUAGGGAUCGGACGGUGUUAUUUUUUGACCCGUUCGGCACCUUACGAGAAAUCAAAGUGCUUGGGCUCCAGGGGGAGUAUGGUCGCAAGG